rnacentral:rRNA from 1 species
UACGGAGGGGGCUAGCGUUGUUCGGAAUUACUGGGCGUAAAGGGAGCGCAGGCGGUCCGGUGUGUCAGAUGUGAAACCCCAGGGCUCAACCCUGGGACUGCGUCUGAAACUGCCGGUCUAGGGACUCGGAGGGGCUAGUGGAAUUCCUGGUGGAGCAGUGAAAUGCGUAGAUAUCAGGAGGAACACCUGUGGCGAAAGCGGCUCACUGGACCACAACUGACGCUGAGGCGCGAAAGCUAGGGGAGCAAACAGG